UACGUAGGGGGCAAGCGUUGUCCGGAUUCAUUGGGCGUAAAGGGCGCGUAGGCGGCCGAUCAAGUCAGGCGUGAAAUUCCCGGGCUCAACCUGGGGGCUGCGCUUGAUACUGAUUGGCUUGAAUGCGGGAGAGGAUAGUGGAAUUCCCAGUGUAGAGGUGAAAUUCGUAGAUAUUGGGAAGAACACCGGUGGCGAAGGCGGCUAUCUGGCCCGUAAUUGACGCUGAGGCGCGAAAGCGUGGGGAGCAAACAGG
rnacentral:rRNA from 1 species